GUAACAACUGUGGCCUCAUUAAUAAUUACUUCUGAUGGCUUCUCGCUUUUCUUUUGGUUCUGGAAAGAUUUCUGCAAGGAGGUAGCUUUCUUAGUUUUUGAAAAUCAUAACUUAACCCUCCCUGCAGGAUUCUGCCUACUGUGGAAGCAUCAUUCUUCUGCCAGCUCUAGGUACCCAGUUCUGUCCUUCUGAGGGUAGAUCACACUGUCACAAAGCACACCGGUAGGUCUGAGCAAUAGCCAAGUGGAGCUGUUGGUGGAAGUUAUAUAGAGGGAGUGUGGGCACUUAGGCAAGGUGUCCACAUUGCAUUUGAGAAGUCACUGGAAGGCUGGCCAGAGUCUGGGUAGGAAGUAAAGGCCACCAGCCAGGGCAAUCAGCAGCUCCCAGUGCUAGUAAACUGGGGAUCACAAGAAGGUAGGAUAGGAGAGAUUUUACUUGGCAGUCUUGUAGCUCUGUUGACAGCUUUUAAAUAUUUAGAUACAUAUUAUGUUGACUCCAUUUAUUCUUUUGCCCCCAGGCCUGUGAAGGUUUCAGAUGGGCCAGAUGGCUGCUUCCCAUGGACUGCCCCUGUUCUGCCCUGGCUCUGCUGGGUGUCACUGUCUCUCAUCAGCUACUCUGCACUGCCACUCCUCCUGGCUGCUCUGUCACUGGUUUUCUUGGGCCUUCACUGCCGUUGCUCUCGGGAAGUGCUAGGACUCUGCUGGUACGAAGGCUUUUUGGGAAGCACACUUGCUCCAGAUAGGAAGAAGAUUGAAGAAAUAUCAUUCUGGACAGAAGGAGAAACAUGUGAGGCCCAAAUCCAAGAGGCCCUAUGAAGUGUUAAAGAAAUUAAAAGAAGCAACUGGGCAGCCGUGAGCAGAGAGAGGAGACCAAGGUAGGCUGCAGAUGUAGAAGAAGCUUCCAAGUCCAUUAUUUUAUUUCAUGUUCAUAACCAUCCUGGGAAGAAUCCAAGAAUCCAGCUGGCUGUUACUCUUCAUGUUUUGCAGAUAAGGAAAUAAAAGUAAAAUAAGAAGAAAAAAGGUGAAUGGA
rnacentral:lncRNA from 1 species